rnacentral:miRNA from 1 species
GACUUUGUAGGAGUGGUGUGACCGUCACAUCCCGGACGAGCCCCCAGAUGAAAGAUUCCUGCCGAUAACCGGCCAAUCCUCCUUGUCCAGGGAGUGCUACGGCGACCCCAAUCAAC